AUCUGGUUGAUCCUGCCAGAGGCGACCGCUUUUGGAGUUCGAUUAAGCCAUGCGAGUAGAAUGAAUUAGAUCAUUGCAAACUGCUCAGUAACACGUGGAUAACCUGCCCUAUGCUCUGGGAUAACCUCGGGAAACUGAGAAGAAUACCGGAUAGACCACAACGCCUGGAACGGUGUGUGGUUGAAAGGUCACGGCAUAGGAUGGGUCUGCGGCGUAUCAGGUCGUAGGGGGUGUAACGGACCUCCUAGCCAUCGACGCGUACGGGUUGUGGGAGCAAUAGCCCGGAGAUGGAUUCUGAGACACGAAUCCAGACCCUACGGGGUGCAGCAGGCGCGAAAACUUCACACUGCAGGAAACUGUGAUGAGGGAACUCCAAGUGACUGCACAUUGUGUAGCCUUUUCUUUACUAUUAAUCGGUAUUGGAAUAAGGGCUGGGAAAGACCGGUGCCAGCCGCCGCGGUAAUACCGGCAGCUCAAGUGGUCGUCGCUUUUAUUGGGCCUAAAACGUCCGUAGCCUGUUUGGUAAAUCUGUGGGUAAAUCAACCAGCAUAACUGGUUGAAUUCUGCAGAGACUGCCAGACUAGGGACCGGGAGAGGUGUGGGG
rnacentral:rRNA from 1 species